rnacentral:lncRNA from 1 species
CAAAGAAAACAAAAGACAUGAAGAAAAUAAAGGGAAAAGAAAGACCCAGGAAAUGAUCUCACACUUCCCAACCGACUGCUUUUUCCUGUAAUAGAAAGAGCAGGCCCAACCAGUCUGAAGUUUGAGCAAAGCAUUUCUGUCCUCUCUCCGGCAAAGAAGAGGGGAUUGCAGCUUUCCCUCGUUAGCCAGAGUAAACCACAUUAAACAGAAUCAUCAAACAGCACGCAGGGACCAGCUAGAAGCGUGUGGCCUCCGUAAACCUGGUCAGAGAUAGUCAACAGAAAAAACGGAGACAACACCCUGCACUGUUGUUCAUUCUCGUUCAUAAUUAACAGCAGAAGAACGGAAGCAGUGAUAAAAAUCCUUAUGCCACGCAGAGCGCGCCGUCCCUCUGAGUGCCCAGCUUCAUGGCCUGCAGCAACCCAGGAACUGCAUGAGAGGAAUCAGAUACAAGGUGAAGGACAAGGUUCUCCAAGGACAGCUUCCCCCAGGACCUGGGAGAACUGUCUUCAGGGGCCCCACCUUCGUCCCUUGCAAGGCUGUCACCCAGGGUGACCAGCGUGGCUGCCCAGGAGUCCAGCCCCCGAAAAGGGUCCGGAGGACAGACUGCACAACAAAAUGCACUUCUACAAAUGGCACGAAGCUCUCCGGGCACCAGAAUGCCAAGAGUGACAGGGUGGGAAGCUGGAAAAUCACUGCGGCCUACACAUAUGGGCACAAGAUGGACUGGAAGCUAUUGAUUCAAACACAGAUGAUUGUACAAUGA